rnacentral:lncRNA from 1 species
GCCCAGGAGGCAAGAGCUCACUUCUGCUGAGGCGUGCGCUCGCCGGCUGGAGUCCCACCUCUUGCUGCAGUCCGGCGAGACUCCUGGGACGAAUCCAUUCUUUCUCCUACUUCCUCUCUAGCAGGCACUCUGAGUCCUCCGCAAAAGAAUGUGCAGGAUCAGAGGCCUCUUUCCAUUCUGCAAGGGUCACGCAAGACCCAUGGAAUUCAACAGGAGGCAAUCUAGGGACUAUAAAAGGUCGCGACGUCUGGCUUGAGGUUAAUGGAAGUUACAAAGGGUCAAAAGCCGACAGUGAGCGCUACCAGACCUCGCCUCCCGAUUCUCGGGAGAUCUUGCUGACUGUGGAAUCCCUGGCUGUUCCGAACCCCCUGGAAAGAAGCGGCUGUUCCCAGGUUUCUGCAAGGUAACGAAUCUGAAGAGUCAACAGAAUUGAGCGGCUCCAUUCAUUCGACUCUGGUUCUCUCAACCAGGCAUUCCCCAUAUUAAAACAAUUCCAGAACUUCAAA